UCCACUGAGGUGGAUUUCUAUACUCUGAUGAUACUCUUGGAACUAGCGGAGCUUCAGCAACUUGAUCUGAACCUGUCUGGGAAUGUGUCGCCUGAGAUCGCUCUCGCAGCGCGCCACUACAAAAAACAGAAGGCUUCAGUCAGUCUAGUUUCGCAGUUUAUGGUUCAUGAUUGUGUUGGUGAUUCGCCGGGGAUUUUGAGGCCUUUCUCCGAAACUGUUACGAACUCGAAAUGUGGCUGCUUGCCACUUUCAGCGCCACAUGAAUGGUGGUGCAGCGUCGGGUUGGCCUGGACGUGGCGCAGCUGACGCAGAUCUGAGCUGGGGGACCCAACCAGGUGAUAUCACAUUUUCCAACUGGUACAGGGGGAUCUAGUUGAAAGAGAGGACGAUAGCUACAUUUCCAUGUCAGGUUCGUCCAUGACGAUGGCUUAUCGUACAGCCCAUCUCUCACUCUCACUCACUCAACAGACUUUGUCACUAUCCAUUUCCUGUUUUGUUAUUGCUGAACAAGCUAACGGAUGUCGUAAGUGGCUGUUGUCAAGGCCAACAUGUUUCGUUCGCGGCACGAUUUGAGCAAAGGCCAGGGAAUCAAUUGGCUGCGUCAAGGGCUGCGUUGCAUGUACUUUUACUUUGAUCAUUUCGGGUGUUAGAGUUGCCAUGGGUUUAACUUAAAAAGUAGCUGUUUGGGUACUUGUUCAUUUAUUUAUUUUCAUCGUUGGAUGUCUCCGUCCCGUGGAUUUAAAUUGGAGAAUUGCAUAGUGCCCUUCUUUUGACAGGAAUUGGACAUUUUUUAUCAACAGAAGGGAUCUAACUAUGCUUUGAGGAGAAGCUUAUUGGAGGUAAGACUCUUCUCACGCACUAGAUGCAUUUGCUAAGAUGUAAGUUCUUUGCUUGUCUGGGUGGGAACGUCUCGAAUUUCUGACGUGGUGAGUUCAACGUCGUUAAAUUUUUCACAUCAAAAUGUGAGGCGGCAGCGGUGCUUUUUAAGGUGUUACCGAGAUAGCAUUUCUUUUUAAGUUUUUUGCAGGGUUUUCGAGAUUUAACGAGUACGGAGCAGUCGGCUUUUGGUAUUCUAUGGUUGCCAUAUCCUCCGUCACAGAGGACCAGGCACUGCAUCCGUUGCAGAAGUUAGACAAUGGCGCAGGGAAGUCACCGAGUGUUGCGUGGUCUGGGAUCGUCCAUUUGGUAAACUUGUGCUUCGCUGUUGCGCUUAGAUCAACCACACGAGGUUCCUUCACUUUGUCGUAUCGUUAUACUCAAGUGAAUGCACUUCCUAAAUCCUGAUUUGCCUCAGCAAUUCUUAGUGAGCUGUUUCAGGAGCACUUGAGCUUGUGCUAUUUUAAAUCGAGAUUAGAAAUCAAGUUAGUAAGUUUGUGGAAGAGGAACGAUGUAGAGUCAGAUAAUUGAGCUGGGUCUUCAGGUUGUUGUGUGCAUAUUCUUCUGUCAUCCUGGAAAUUUCACAACAUGGAGACUUGUAUGUUGAGUGUUUAUCCUUAGUUAUUCUAACCUGUUUCAUGAGUCAUGCUGCAGGUGUAUCAUGACAUUGUGCAUAAAGCUUAUAAGUUUUAUUUAUACUUGUCCUGAAUGCGUGUAUCAUACCUUGGUACUCUAUGUUCAGGAAUGCCUAAGUUGUUUUUCAAGGCAUCAUAAAAUCCACAUGCUGAGCUAAGCAUGGAUAUAUUGAGGUUCACUUGAACUAAUGAGUGGUUGUUUCAGGUGUGCACUCUUUAAUGAUCCUUGAGAAAGGUGCUUUGUUUAGGACAGUGUACUAUCACAGGUACGAAACUUGAACAGAGCAGUGUGACUCAUUUGUGGGAUCUAAAAAAUUGUUUAUUUAGUGGUACAUUUCUUGUCUAAUUGUGCUUCCAACUUCCUAAAUCCUGCAUACUUUAAGUGAUGUGAAUUUAAUUAUUUAGUUUGGUCUAGAUAUAAGCAGGAGUGCUCUUGAAGGGCUCAACAAUUUGUGAACUGAUCUCACACCAAAGUUGGUUGCUGUUAUUACACAACUUUGCUUAUUGACAUUGAGGGGACUAAUAUUGCUAUCAGUUUACAAUCAUUUAUUUAUACUUUAGCAAUACAAGUUAAAGUAAAACUAAAUAAAAGUAAAUGAAUUUGUACAUGUGUGGAGUUGAAGACAGCUUCUGAGUCCUUCAAGCGAGAUCCUUGAAUCAUGCAACUACCCUCCAAGAGUUUUUGCAGAUACCCUUAAGAAUACUCUUCAAACCUUAAAGAAAUCAGAUGCUAGAUGGUUUAUUGGAUAGUGACUGGAUCGAUUAUCUAAUUUUUUGCCUGGAAGAGACUGGUGAUCAGCAAUGUAUGCAAUGUUGAAUUCUCUGUGAUUUUCUCAGCUACUUACAGAAGCCAGGCUCUAAUUAGCUGUAUGAAAGUUUUGGUUGAGAAUUUGCUUAGCUGGGUGGAUGUCUGGUGCUCUCAUUCCACUUGUAAAACUUGAGUGAGAGUUUUACAUGUGAACCUCAAUCAAUCAAAAACAUUUGUUAACAGAGACUUUUUUAAUACG